UACAGAGGUCUCAAGCGUUGUUCGGAUUCAUUGGGCGUAAAGGGUGCGUAGGUGGCGGGGUAAGUCAGGUGUGAAAUCUCGGGGCUCAACCCCGAAACUGCACUUGAUACUGCCUUGCUCGAGUACUGGAGAGGAGAUUGGAAUUUACGGUGUAGCAGUGAAACGCGUAGAUAUCGUAAGGAAGACCAGUGGCGAAGGCGAAUCUCUGGACAGUUACUGACACUGAGGCACGAAGGCCAGGGGAGCAAACGGG
rnacentral:rRNA from 1 species